AAAACCCUAAUUGAUUAAUAAAACCCUAACUAGAAUAGGAGUAGACAAUAAACAAAUCAGGGUAAAGAGCAUCAAGAAGUUAGCUUAAAUAAAAAAAGAAAAAGCUGUAAUUUCAUUAUCAAAUUAAUGCCCCAAAAGCAAAAUUCAGAGAGAGAAAAAAGGUGAAAAAGUACUUAACCUUAAAUAGAGAAAAGAAGACAAAACCAAUUAAUGAAUAAGCAAAUGGAUGUGAAACCAAGAAACUGGAUCUGUAGUACUGUGGAGUUGUAUAUAUAUACAUAAACGCACAUAUAAUUUUCCACAUCUCUUCUCUAACAUACAUCAAUAUUCUUCUUCUGCUUCAUCACCAUAUCUUCAAAGCUCUCAAACACUCUCAUCUAAUGAUAACUAUAACAGAAACAACAGCUACAAUAAUGGAUGGUGAACAGAUCAAUAAGUUAAUGAAACUAGAAGAGAAUGAAGUUGAUAGAACAAAGGAGUGUGAAAUUCAAUUCGCAAAAAUCUUCAAUCUUCAAGAUGGUCAAAAUUUGUUUGACGUGAUGUUGUGGCGCAUUGUAUGUAGAUUCGGUCUUAUGAACGUCAUCAUACAAUGCACCACAACAACACGUCAAACAAAUCUUGAUCAUUCUAUAUCAUCAUCAUCAAUACCAAUUGUUUAUUGAUGGUAAAGAGAUCAAAGACUCAAUGAAACUAGAGGAUGAUGAAGUUAAAAGAUUGAAGAAGUCUGAAUCUCAAUGUGCUGAAAUGUUUAAAAUCGUGAUGAUAGUUGAAGGGUUUCUAUUUACCCUUAUGAAUUUCAAGUCGUUUACAAUAGAGUGUAGAUACGAGCUUGUAAACGUAAUAAUACAAUACACCAUAAUCUGUUUAUCUUUAGUGAAUAUCAUUGGUAUUCUUGGAGAAAUUCGGUCGGCAAGUAUUGUAUGAUAUUCUCUCCAUACUGAUAUUGCGAAAAAAUUCAAUAGUAAGAACUACUAUCAUUAUGGAUGAAACUAUAUGCUCCAACACAUCUUAAGAAUGUGCAUAGUGGUAAGAAAUAUUAUAGAUAUAUUUAUGGAAGGAUUUAUUGUGUUGUUGUGCUUUGGAGAAGUUAUUGUAGCACUGAGUUACAAAAAUGUGAGGGUUUUUAUAUCAUGUGUGUCACUUUAAUUCUGUUUUAGAAUUUAGGGUUUAGGGUUUUAUAUUUUUUUUUUUUUUUCUGAGAGUGGCAUUGGCCUAGUUUGUAUUGUAAGAACUUAUUAAUGAUUUUUCUUAAUUAUCUACAUUGAGAAUGAUUGAUUAA